GAAUAUCUGCCACCGGGUAGGAAUGUAGAUACGCGUAUCCAAGCAUUCGCGGCACAUCGUUAGGUCUUUGAAGAUGUGUCUCGGAUGCUUUUUUAAU
rnacentral:ncRNA from 1 species